GAUUUAAAUGGGAUUUAAGUUACGACGCGGAAAAAAAUUAAUUUUAAGUUGAUAUUUGUAACUCUUGCGAUGGAAACUGUACGUAACGUUUUACGUUGGCCAUCCUGUAUACAUUGAUAUCUAUUUUUGUGUAUCGUUAAACGAGUCAAGAUUAUAUCUCGGUUGUAUUUAGUAACACCUUACCGUCUAAUCUCGUCGUUAGAUUUUAUUACGUCAUUACACAAGAAACAAUCAAAUUGUAUCUUGCUAAAGUAACAUGCAAGAAGAAGAAGAAGAAGAAGAAGAAGAAAAGGAUAAUUGGAUACGUACAUGCCUGAGAAAUGCGAAUUACAAAAGCAUGACAGGAUAAAUCAACGAUGAAGAAUACAGCAGUACGAUAUCAAUAAAGCCUCAUCACAAUUGUUGAUUUUACGCGACAAACGGCUUUUAGACUUUCGUCGGCAUGAAGUCAUAUAUUUAGAAAAAAGCAAACAUUUAUUCGUCAAACAGAAGAUUAUACAAUGAUUACGGACAAUAAUCGAACAUUGAGAAUAACUACACACACAA
rnacentral:lncRNA from 1 species